GAGGUAGGUGGAAGAAUCUAAAUGAAACUCUUGGUGUCCUCCACUAUUCAUCGGAGCUUCGGUCACCCUCUCCAUAAGUGAGAUGGUAACCACUCCUCUAUUAUAUCCUUUGUGUUAAAUUUCAAGCUAUAAUAGAUCUAGGAGCUAUGAACACUGUUAAUACCACUCUAUGUUUGAGCUCCACUUUCAGCUUCAACUCGAUUCUACACCUGUUGGAGAUUAUGUUUCCA
rnacentral:lncRNA from 1 species